GUAUUUGCAUCAGCAGCACAUACCUAUUAGAACCAUAGGAAGGAAUUAGCAUUGCCCAUGCACAAAGCUGACACACAGACUCAUGAAAUGAUCUAUAUUUUU
ensembl:snRNA U6 U6 spliceosomal RNA